CACGCGAUCUCUCAAAAGCAAACAAUAAAGGGCAACAAACAGGCACCAGAGAUAGUUACCAGCUUACGAAAGAAAGUUUUCUUCAACAUAACUCCAGGUGAAGAAGAGCGAGUCCAAGACCAAAACUAAAGAUGGCUGUCGACGGUUUCAUGCACAGAGAGCCCGCAAACGAAGUACACACACUGGACAAUAGAAGUGUCACCCCCUAAAUCAGA